UGCACUUACAAGCUGUGGAAGCACAUUUCUUGUGUGACCGCGUACUUUUUGUAGAACGGGCCAACGAGUUACGUUAAGUAGCAAGGUUAAGCACUUAAGGUGUGGAGCCGUAGCGAAAGCGAGUUUUAACUGAGCGUUCAGUUACUUGACGUAGACCCGAAACCGGGCGACCUACCCAUGAGCAGGAUGAAGCGAAAGUAAAAUU
rnacentral:rRNA from 1 species